GACAGAGGCCUCAAGCGUUAGGCGGAAUCACUGGGCUUAAAGCGUGUGUAGGCGGAUCGUUAAGUGUCUUGUGAAAUCCCACGGCUCACCCGUGGAACUGCUGGGCAUACUGGCGAUCUUGGGCCAACUAGGGGCAACUGGAACAAGCGGUGGAGCGGUGAAAUGCGUAGAUAUCGCUUGGAACGCCAAAGGUGAAAACAGGUUGCUGGGUUGUGCCGACGCUGAGGCACGAAAGCCAGGGGAGCAAACGGG
rnacentral:rRNA from 1 species